UCUGGUCCUAUCACGGUUCUGUUGGGGCUUCAUUUGUUGUUCAGAUGUUCUUCUUCAACUGUUUGGAUCAUUUGAAACAAACUGUGAAGCUAGAAAGUGUGUGUGAGCUGAUGKGAAUUCAGCAGCAUGGAUCAGUGUGAGGACAGAGAGGAGGGAGUCCCUCCCUCUAAAACCACUCUGUGUGGGGAAGAUGAGAGCCAGAGCAAAGGUCAGAGGAUCCAUCAGAGACUCAGACCAGAACCAGAACCAGAACCCAGCUGUGUGUCCUUCAAGAGGAACUGGUCUAAGGAUGAGAUCUUAGACUGUAAAUCCAAGGGUGUAAAUUUGUGUUGCAAGUUGGUGGGGACCGGGGCCGGCUAUACGCUGGGUAAAAGGAGGCAGUGCCCCCUCAAAGAAACGUCUUGCCCCCUCAAAUGAAACUCGCCACAAAUAAUGAAACAGCUCCGUUAUCUGAGGUUCUGCAGCGCACCGUGUUGAGCAGGUUGCGGUCUUCUCCUGUCUAUCUGUGCUCAGCCUGCAGCUGAAACCCCUCAGCCUCUAGCAAACAGCCAGUCAGCUUUCAGUAUUCAAACGAGGCUUACCGAGCGAGAUUCCUACCUGCUCGUGGCAAAAGACCUGCUAGAUGCCGUCUAAACUGUAAAUGUACAGGAAAGGAGCAGUGUUUUGCUACAGCUACAAAACAAGCCCCAAAGUUUCACAGGGUGGAGCCUGCUGGAGGCCGAUUCUUGACACCAGGUCUG